GCCCACUUACCUCAAAGGUU
rnacentral:tRNA from 1 species